UGCCUUACACAUGCAGUCGAACGGUAACAGGUCUUUCGGGAUGCUGACGAGUGGCGAACGGGUGAGUAAUACAUCGGAACGUGCCCAGUAAUGGGGGAUAGCUCGGCGAAAGCCGGAUUAAUACCGCAUACGCCCUGAGGGGGAAAGUGGGGGACCGCAAGGCCUCACGUUAUUGGAGCGGCCGAUGGCUGAUUAGCUAGUUGGUAGGGUAAAGGCCUACCAAGGCGACGAUCAGUAGCUGGUCUGAGAGGACGAUCAGCCACACUGGGACUGAGACACGGCCCAGACUCCUACGGGAGGCAGCAGUGGGGAAUUUUGGACAAUGGGGGAAACCCUGAUCCAGCAAUGCCGCGUGUGCGAAGAAGGCCUUCGGGUUGUAAAGCACUUUUGUCAGGGAAGAAAUCCUUUGGGCUAAUACCCUAGGGGGAUGACGGUACCUGAAGAAUAAGCACCGGCUAACUACGUGCUAGCAGCCGCAGUAAUACGUAGGGUGCAAGCGUUAAUCGGAAUUACUGGGCGUAAAGCGUGCGCAGGCGGUUGUGUAAGACAGGUGUGAAAUCCCCGGGCUUAACCUGGGAAUUGCAUUUGUGACUGCACGACUAGAGUGUGUCAGAGGGGGGUGGAAUUCCACGUGUAGCAGUGAAAUGCGUAGAUAUGUGGAGGAACACCAAUGGCGAAGGCAGCCCCCUGGGAUAACACUGACGCUCAUGCACGAAAGCGUGGGGAGCAAACAGGAUUAGAUACCCUGGUAGUCCACGCCCUAAACGAUGUCAACUAGUUGUUGGGGAUUUACUUCCUUGAUAACGUAGCUAACGCGUGAAGUUGACCGCCUGGGGAGUACGGCCGCAAGGUUAAAACUCAAAGGAAUUGACGG
rnacentral:rRNA from 1 species